CGCGGGGUGGAGCGGCUCGGUGGCCCGCUGGGCUCAUGACCCGGAGGCCGCAGGUUCACAUCCUGUCCCCGCUGCC
rnacentral:tRNA from 1 species